UUUAUAGCACGGGCCCGUAGCCGCGCCGUAGAGUAAGAAGCGGUGUAUAGGAUACAUGGUAAUGGGAUUUAGUAGGCGCGAAUAAAAAUAAAAACACGGUCUAAGUGUGGUCCAAUAAACAUAUGCACAGUUUAAUUAUUAUACGAGACACAAUAUUACAAUACAAUAAUAAUUUCACAGUACAUAGGUCUAGUACCUAUGGGUCGUUGUGUAAUUCAGUGUUUUAUUAGUAAUAAUAAAGCUAAUUUUGGAAUACAUUUCACUUACAAUAAUAUGUUUCUGUAAAAACAAUAAUAAAAAUAGACGGUCAGGGUAAAAAAAAAAUGAAGUUUUUCCAUAGAGCUUUUACAAUGAAUAUUUUAGACUGUUAUUAUUAUACUAUUUCAUAUAAUGCUAUUACACAACAAACCAAUUGAAAAUUUUGCGUUUUUUUUUUGGGAUUUUCAAUGUAGUUUUUUUUUUGAAUUUUUGAAUUUUAUAUUAUUUUUUUGGUUGUCGUAAUAAUAAUUAAUUUUAUGUUAAACAUAAUAAUAAACUAUAACUAACAAUAGCAUAAAAACUAUACUCUUAAAACAGACACUUUUUCUACGUUUUUUAUUUAAUUGUCAAAUCAUAAUGUGUGCGAACGUCUAAAAUGGAUAUCUCGAAUAUUCAAAUUAAUCAAAUCAGAAAAAAAAACCUACUAAAAAUUUACAUCCGCAGCAUUGUACCAUAUGGAUGUGAAACGGAAACUAAUACAAAAGAAUAAUAGAGGCGAACAGAUUAUUAUGGGCAACAGAAAGGAGGCGACGGUAUAUUUGAAAAGAUUUAAACUUAAAGAGAGACUUAUAAUUGAAAAUUUGUAUNAAAGGUUUUCGAAAAGUAUGAUAGAAAAGCGAGAAAAAUUAGAUUGGUGUAUCGUGAACUGCUGAAAAUUAACUAAACCAGUAGGUAUUACCUACUCGUUUUCUUAGAAAAAUUAGAAAAAAAACAUUGGAUUAAAUUUUUGGCCGAUCAAAAAAUUGAUGACGAAAGUCGGGAAAGGUUUUAAGUUUUAACGGAUUAUAGUUUAAAACCUUUAAUAUAAACAUAUGAAUGAGAUAUCUAACUUACUAAUUUAAACUUAAAGAAUUACUUAUAACUGAAAGUUUGUAUUUAUAAAAAAUUAGCCUAGAAAUUAUGUUUUAAUAACGAGUGAAUGUUUGCCAUCACGUCGUUAUCAAAAACUAUAAUUAGUGAAUUUGAUGGCUUGGUUUAUGUGGAUUUCUAAAGUGAAUCAGAAAUAUAACAUGUUUUUUUUUUUUUUUUUUUUUUUUUUAUUUUUUAUUUUUUUUUUUUUAAUUUUUAAUUUUUUUUUUUUUUUUAAUGUUUUAUACAUAAAACAUAUCGUAUAAAAUAAAAAUAAUUACUUAUACUAUAGAAAUCAAACUUAAACAAUUAAACUUAACAUAUAAAACCUACAAAUAAUUAUGGUUUCAUAACGAAUAAAGUGUAUGAGCAAUAAUGCCAAUACAGUUUAAAACAAAAAUUUAAAAAAAAAAACCAAACAAAACAAAACUUAGCCUAACCUUAAAGCCGCCUUAAGACAUGCCGACGUGAGUUCGCAGUCGUUUAAGUGGGUUUUUUAAUGUUAACAUCGUAUGUGAAAAUUGUAAUAUAAAAAAUAUAUUUUUUUUUUUUUUAAUUUUUAAUUUUAAGUUUUUUUUUGUUAAUAAUGUUGUAUAUAAAAAACUAAUUGAAAGGCAUAAAAAUAGGUACUACUAUUUUAUACAUCAAACUUAAACAUUUAAUAAAAAAAAACUAUUUGAAAACGAGACAUUUUUCAUUCUCGUCAUCACUAAUUUAAGUUAUAAUCGUUCAUACGUUUACUC